rnacentral:misc_RNA from 1 species
GAUGAAGAACGUAGCGAAAUGCGAUAACUAAUGUGAAUUGCAGAAUUCAGUGAAUCAUCGAGUCUUUGAACGCACAUUGCGCCCCCUGGUAUUCCGGGGGGCAUGCCUGUCCGAGCGUCAUUGCUGCCCUCAAGCACGGCUUGUGUGUUGGGCUCCGUCCCCCCGGGGACGGGUCCGAAAGGCAGCGGCGGCACCGAGUCCGGUCCUCGAGCGUAUGGGGCUUUGUCACCCGCUCUGUAGGCCCGGCCGGCGCCAGCCGACAACCAAUCAUCCUUUUUUCAGGUUGACCUCGGAUCAGGUAGGGAUACCCGCUGAACUUAAGCAUAUCAAUAACGGAGGA